GUAACUGCCAUAGGCGUGGCUGUUGAAAUGAUGAUUGUGGCAGUUACCUGAAAACAACAAGAUUAAAGGACGCUGCUGGCGGCGUCAACUUUAAUCUACAAAAUAGGACGUGAGCAGAGGGACAGAACAGCUUAGGGACAGAAAACAAAAUGGUGGAGCACAGAAGAGAGCGACACCGUGCCAUUUCCCUCAGGGCUGGACCUAGUGAGGUGGACAACGUCACCCUGUCUGAUGUGAAUCUCAGAAUCCAUGCCUGGGCUGCCCGGACAACAGGUCAUCAGCUGGCAGAGAUGGGUGACAGACUGGACCGUGAAUGGGCAGAGAGACACCCUAAUCAGUGGCCUGUGCCACAAACUCUCCAUGUGACAAAUCCUGCCCAUGCCCUGACUAGAAGCAUCUAUAGGGGGAUACAAAGACAGCUUUGGGGAGUGAAGAGUUUGCCUGGCGUGGCCAAAGCCUGUUUGGCUUCCGCUCUCCACAGGCAGGCUACACAGAGAGCAGAGGCUUGGGUUUCCAGUAUUCAACCUGCUAACUGCCCUGGUUGGGCCAAAGCAAUGCUUGCCACUGUGGCACUGGUGGCCAUGGCAACCAUUUGCACUGCAUUGUGGAAGGAGUAGAAAGGCUAACCAUUGCACUGAGGGGGGCCUUGGCUGGACUUCUGGCUACAAUGUUCUAUGUUGGACCAUUUCCUAAUUGAGUGAUAUUUUUAAACAAUUUUUACUAUAGACUUUAGGAAAAAAGAAAUACCGUGUGUGUUAUUGAAUUGAUUGUGCUGGAUCACAGUUUUUAUAGUCUUAUCAACUGAUGCAUGUUUUAAAGACUGUUGCUGGUCUGCAGUCUUUUCUAUGAAGAUUGAGCCUGUUACUGGUUAGACAUUUAAUUGCCACAACUAUCUUAUGUAGCUUAUUACACCAUUAAAUGGACAC